rnacentral:ncRNA from 1 species
CUCCUCUCCUUGUGGGGGAGGGUGGGGGACAAGGCCAAGGUGCCAUGGGGGUUAAGCCAUCUUCUGCAGCGACGUGGAAGAUGGCAGGCAGACAGCGGGCGGCCUCGAUUAGUGUCUAGGUGUCUAGCAGCUGGCUUAGAACUGGUGCGGACCAGGGGAAUCUGACUGUUUAAUUAAAACAAAGCAUCGCGAAGGCCUGCAGCGGGUGUUGACACAAUGUGAUUUCUGCCCAGUGCUCUGAAUGUCAAAGUGAAAAAAUUCAAUGAAGCGUGGGUAAAUGGUGGGAGUAACUAUGACUCUUAAAAUGAAACCCUUAAAAUGAAAAAUAAAGUUCAU